UGGCCUAGUCGGGACAGGGCGUCGGCCUCCGGAGCCGAAGGUCGCGGGUUCAAAUCCGC
rnacentral:tRNA from 1 species